CUAAGCGGAGGAAAAGAAANUAACAAUGAUUCCCCUAGUAACGGCGAGCGAACCGGGAAGAGCCCAACUUGGAAAUCUGGAGGCUUGUCCUUCCGAAUUGUAGUCUAGAGAAGUGCCAUCUGCGGCUGACCGGUCCCAAGUUCCCUGGAAAGGGACGUCAGAGAGGGUGAGAGCCCCGUCGAGGCCGGUUUUGUCGCUCCACGAUGCGCUGUCGAGGAGUCGGGUUGUUUGGGAAUGCAGCCCUAAGUGGGAGGUAAAUUCCUUCUAAGGCUAAAUAUUGGCGAGAGACCGAUAGCGAACAAGUACCGCGAGGGAAAGAUGAAAAGACCUUUGAAAAGAGAGUUAAAAAGUACCUGAAAUUGUUGAGGGGGAAGCGAUUAGAACCAGCGGGUGCUCCUCGGGUAGACUUUGUCACACGCCGAGGGCUGGUCAACGUGGGUUAGCUGGGCGAUACAUUACGCUCGGCUGACCGAGGACUCGACGUUGGCGGAAUGGUUCUAAUCGGCCCGUCUAGAAACACGGACCAAGGAGUCUAACAUGUGUGCGAGUCGGUGGGUGACAAACCCACGAGGCGCAAGUAACCUGACUGAGCAACAUCGACCGACCAUGAUCUUCUGUGAAAGGUUUGAGUGCGAGCAUACAUGCUGGGACCCGAAAGAUGGUGAACUAUGCCUGAGCAGGGCGAAGCCAGAGGAAACUCUGGUGGAGGCUCGUAGCGAUACUGACGUGCAAAUCGUUCGUCGGACUUGGGUAUAGGGGCGAAAGACUAAUCGAACCAUCUAGUAGCUGGUUCCCUCCGAAGUUUCCCUCAGGAUAGCUGGAGCUUGUGCAGUUUUAUCGGGUAAAGCGAAUGAUUAGUGAUUUGGGGNNUGAAACAGCCUCCGUCAAUUCUCAAACUUUAAAUAGGUAAGCUGUGGGUUGCUUAAUUGAACCUAGGGGUGUAAUGAGAGCUCCAUGUGGGCCAUUUUUGGUAAGCAGAACUGGCGAUGCGGGAUGAACCGAAAGCCGGGUUAAAGUGCCAAACUGCGCGCUAACCUAGAUCCCACAAAGGGUGUUGAUUCAUACAGACAGCAGGACGGUGGUCAUGGAAGUCGAAAUCCGCUAAGGAGUGUGUAACAACUCACCUGCCGAAUCAAUUAGCCCCGAAAAUGGAUGGCGCUUAAGCGCGCGACUUAUACCCGGCCAUCAGGGUGAGUACGAUACCCUGAUGAGUAGGAGGGCGUGAAGGCUGUGGCGCAGCUUGGGGCGUGAGCCCGAGUGAAACAGCCUUUAGUGCAGAUCUUGGUGGUAGUAGCAAAUAUUCAAAUGAGAACUUUGAAGACUGAAGUGGAGAAAGGUUCCAUGUGAACAGCAAUUGGACAUGGGUUAGUCGAUCCUAAGAGAUGAGGUAAUUCUGUAUGAAGGGUUCAAUCGAAACCGUCCAUCGAAAGGGGAUCGGGUUAAAAUUCCCGAACUGGGAUUUGGCUGCGGGCGGUAACGCAAACGAGCCUGGCGACACCGGCGGGAGCCCCGGGAAGAGUUCUCUUUUCUUUUUAACAGCCUUCGCGCCCUGGAAUCGGUUUAGCCGGAGAUAGGGCCCAACGGCUGGUAAAGCACUGCACGUCUCGCAGUGUCCGGUGCACUCCCGACGGUCCGUGAAAAGCUAGGCGAGCCUCGGUACAGACCAAACCCACUCGUACUCAUAACCGCAUCAGGUCUCCAAGGUGAACAGCCUCUAGUCGAUAGAAGAAUGUAGAUUAGGGAAGUCGG
rnacentral:rRNA from 1 species